rnacentral:rRNA from 1 species
AGAGUUUGAUUCUGGCUCAGAACGAACGCUGGCGGCGUGGAUAAGACAUGCAAGUCGAACGAGAGAAUUGCUAGCUUGCUAAUAAUUCUCUAGUGGCGCACGGGUGAGUAACACGUGAGUAACCUGCCCCCAAGAGUGGGAUAGCCCCGGGAAACUGGGAUUAAUACCGCAUAAAAUCGCAAGAUUAAAGCAGCAAUGCGCUUGGGGAUGGGCUCGCGUCCUAUUAGUUAGUUGGUGAGGUAACGGCUCACCAAGGCGAUGACGGGUAGCCGGUCUGAGAGGAUGUCCGGCCACACUGGAACUGAGACACGGUCCAGACACCUACGGGUGGCAGCAGUCGAGAAUCAUUCACAAUGGGGGAAACCCUGAUGGUGCGACGCCGCGUGGGGGAAUGAAGGUCUUCGGAUUGUAAACCCCUGUCAUGUGGGAGCAAAUUAAAAAGAUAGUACCACAAGAGGAAGAGACGGCUAACUCUGUGCCAGCAGCCGCGGUAAUACAGAGGUCUCAAGCGUUGUUCGGAAUCACUGGGCGUAAAGCGUGCGUAGGCGGUUUCGUAAGUCGUGUGUGAAAGGCGGGGGCUCAACCCCCGGACUGCACAUGAUACUGCGAGACUAGAGUAAUGGAGGGGGAACCGGAAUUCUCGGUGUAGCAGUGAAAUGCGUAGAUAUCGAGAGGAACACUCGUGGCGAAGGCGGGUUCCUGGACAUUAACUGACGCUGAGGCACGAAGGCCAGGGGAGCGAAAGGGAUUAGAUACCCCUGUAGUCCUGGCAGUAAACGGUGCACGCUUGGUGUGCGGGGAAUCGACCCCCUGCGUGCCGGAGCUAACGCGUUAAGCGUGCCGCCUGGGGAGUACGGUCGCAAGAUUAAAACUCAAAGAAAUUGACGGGGACCCGCACAAGCGGUGGAGUAUGUGGUUUAAUUCGAUGCAACGCGAAGAACCUUACCUGGGCUUGA